AACUGUCCAGCCUUGACGACACACACAAACCUGACAUUGAGAGAAUAUAUUGUAUUACCCGCGCGCUAUAGCAGCAGCAGCACAGUGCCAGUUCUUAUGGUUCUAUGCCGGGCCGAUUACUUAACGGGAGGUGAGAGCUAAUGAUUGCUCACGGAGACAAUCUCAUUUCGACCAGUUCCCACUCGAGUGAAAAAAAAGUAGACAGAGAGAGUUCGCCCUUUACCAUAAACAACGACAGCCUUUUCCAUGUUCCUCUAUACGUUUGACUACUUUCGAUAUCCCGAGCCAUUACCUUGAGUUGCGCUAAAUUGCCCAGCACAAAUAUAUAAAUUUCCAAUAGACCAAACAGAAAAAAAAAAAGAAAAUGUCCAAAAAGUCGCAAAAAAAAAAUGGCGAUCGUGUCGCCUGUUAAUGGAGACUAUACCCACCUCGUAUAUGGUCAACAUCUUCUUUGAGAACAAGUAAACGACGACCACCAAUCAAGUCCUGGUGGUCCCCACGAUUUCUUAUUUUUUUGUUUCUGUUCCGGGGCCGCCAAACCCCCCGCACAUUCGCCUUAUUUAUCUGUCGGAUUGGGCCAAGAACAAUCGGAGUUGUAAGCGACAAGCUUACACAACCAAUGGAUGGCAGAAUUCGAACAUUUAAAAAAAAGGCCUUGCACAGUUUAUUAGUUCGUAUUAGUCAACCCUUUUAGAAAAAAAAGGCCUUUCGCUUCGGCUUUGGUGGCCAGGGGAUUUUGUCCUGGGCUAUGAUUCGAUCUACUCUCCUACUAUGGUUUUAGCCUUUAUGGAAGUGAAUCGGAUUUGGAAAGGAUAUAUACAUGUUGUAGCCUCCUAAUGUAUUUCUCCUCUUUUUUAUUUUUAUUUUUAUUGCGCCGGCAGGAUGCGCUACGGGAGGACGACGAUGGCAUUUGUUUCUUUCAUUGGAUAAAAAUGCGGAAAAGGGCUCGUGGAGUUUUUUUUUUCGGGGGGGGGGGGGGGAGGCAAAGCAUUGGGCGUAUUCCUUUCAUUUCUUAUAGAUUUUUAUUUGGAGUGGGGGAGGUGGCUCGGUUUCCUGAUGAAUUAUUUCACUUACUCACCUGAAAAUAAAAAAUCAAAAUAAAGCCAAAAGGAAACGAGAGAGGAAAAAAAAGAGGCUCGACAAAAAGGAUAUGUUGAAGAGAGGAUUUGGAACAAUUCAAACGGAAAAAGGUCAAAGAAAAUAAAGGCAGAAAGGUCCCCCCACCCCCCUCCACACAAUACACAGGUGAGGAUACACCUAUAGGCUAGUGCUAAGGGGGGUUGUAGAUUGUAUUGUCUAUAGUAUAUACAUUGUACAUUGGUGUUUUUCUUCACGAGUUCAGCACCAAACUAAACUAAAAAAAUAAAAUAAAAUAAGGGAUAGACGGACAGACAGGCCGGCAGGGGGGAGAUACUACUCUGAAACGAAAAAAGUGUGGGCCCAGUGCCAAAGUUGGUAGAGGGCGGAGCACACCAAUGCGCGGGGGGCUGUGUUGAGCUGGCGCGCUCUAUACGAAUAGCAUAGCCUAGGCUCUCUCUCUGUUGUGUCUAUUGAUGCUGGUGCUGCUGGUGGUUUGAUAUUUAUGACCAAGCAAUGUGUCAAAAGGUGUGGGCGAAGGGUCGCGCCUUCUUUUUCCUCCUCGACACAACUCGCAUAAGAACAAGACAAAAAAAAAAAUAAAAUAAAAUAAAAAAAACUACAAUAAGCCGAGGGAGGAAACCUGAAAUCCUUUUAGACAGUGAACCAGAAAAGCUACUCGCUUGUCGACAGUUUAAAACAUCCCCAAACUUUCCCCCCUCCAUUUAUAUAUUUUUUUAAAAGAACUAUCCAACCCCCUUCACAAUAACCAUCAAAACUCUUUUUCCUUUUGUUGUUUCCUACGGCUAAUUAAACAUCAGGUAGCCAGCAGACACACAAAAAAAUGGGUUUCCAAAAGAAACGCCAUUCGAAGAAAAGGGGCCUCUUUCCUGUUUCAUUGGAAUUAACUCGACGAAGAAAAACGACGAAGAGAGAAGAAGAGAGCGAGAGAGGUUCAAAGUUAAUGAGUCUUGCGGCUGCGGGGGUCAAGGAUAUGUUUGACUAGUUGAAAUAAGAAGUCAAUAGGCGACACACAGACACACAAAAAAACCAAAAACCCAAAACCCAAAAAAUAAAAUAAGAGAUAAUGGUUUUUUCGGGAAAAUAAAUAAAAUAAAACUCUGCGGGCACGUCCUCGAUUCUCUUACGUCUUUCGUGUUUUUUACCACUUUGAUUCACGGGUUACCGAGUCCACAAGGUGAUGUGUGCGCGUGGGGUUACAUGUACCCAGCAGCACAAGCCUAUAAGCCCCGGUGUCAACGUCUACAUGCGAAUGAAGAAAAUCGUGAAAUGUUAGACACUAUUAUGCAUAUAAUUCUUAUCUUAUAGAGAGACUCUCUCGGUGCGGCGGGUAUCUAAGAAAUAUCUCAGCGUGAAAGAUGGCGACAUUGAUGAUCGCGCCAGCCGAUUCAUCAGAGGGGGGAAAAAAAACGGACGGCCAUUUCACCUUACGACCCAUCCUUCAUAACACUUCUUCGCCUCUCUCUCUCUCUCCCGUUCGGAAAAAAAAACGGUUGACAAUGUCAAAACGUGUCUCGACAUCAGAUUUUGGCCGAACCAGCGGCAGACACUAUACAAUAUCGUUGCCUACUUUUUUUUUCGUUGUUGACGCCGAGGAGUUCGAAUUUAUACCGUGUCGUAUUUUCCCCUGGCCACACGACAGGUUACACACACAGGUACACACACCAUUCACGCAGUAUAUGUUGACGACGAAAUAUCGUGACCGUGAGUUGCUCCAUCCUUGUUCACCUGUUCCGUUCUCCAUCCCCCCCCCUCGAAGAAGGUGCUGUUGUUAGGCGAAGGGAAAAGUAAUACUAGAAAAGUCCCGGCCUGUGCUGUUGGAUGCAACAACCCACCCAGGUAAUAUCUAGACGCGGGAAAGCGACAUUGAAAAAAUGCAUCGAGAUGGCGCGAAGUUGUUAAAGAAAGAAAAAAAGGGAAAGGCCAAAAAAGAAAAAGAAAAAAAAGAAGAGAAAAACUUUCGCGGGAUGUUUAUUACCAAACGACUCGAUUGGCCUCUCAAUCGUUUGCAAUUUUGAACCGCAGUGAGUCGCGCGGUGCCAUAUUAUUACCACAUCGCCAAGAUUCGCCAAUAAUACCGGCCAAAAAAGAUGAUACGCUCACCACACCGUGGAUGGAUGCAGCAGCGGAUGCUGGAUUUGGGUUAUAUGCUCAUCCCAAGUCGUUCGAUGCUUUUUUUUUAGAGACCGUAAAAGAAAGAAGCGGUCAGUUUCAGACGUCACCGCAAUAAAUUUGCAUAGCGAGCGUGCGAAUCGAUGAGGUGCUUAUUAACGGCAAUCAAUCAAAAUGAAAUGCCAUUGAAACGUCGGAUAUUAUGGCGGCGGACCUUCAAUCGGAUGGCGUUUGGAAAUACGUAAUAGUACGGGUGUAUUCCAGCAUUUCUCAUAGAUAUAAGACAAAGUACAAGUAAAAACAUGUGUAAACUAUGUAGACCUUAACAAAGAAAUAA